rnacentral:rRNA from 1 species
UACGUAGGGGGCAAGCGUUGUCCGGAUUUAUUGGGCGUAAAGAGCGUGUAGGCGGCCAUACAGGUCAGCUGUGAAAACUCGAGGCUCAACCUCGAGACGUCGGUUGAAACCGUACGGCUAGAGUCCGGAAGAGGAGAGUGGAAUUCCCGGUGUAGCGGUGAAAUGCGCAGAUAUCGGGAAGAACACCCGUGGCGAAGGCGGCUCUCUGGGACGGUACUGACGCUGAGACGGCGAAAGCGUGGGGAGCGAACAGG